rnacentral:rRNA from 1 species
UACGGAGGAUGCAAGCGUUAUCCGGAUUCAUUGGGUUUAAAGGGUGCGUAGGCGGACUAUUAAGUCAGUGGUGAAAGCCUGCAGCUUAACUGCAGAACUGCCAUUGAUACUGAUAGUCUUGAGUUUGGUUAAGGUAGGCGGAAUGUGUAAUGUAGCGGUGAAAUGCUUAGAUAUUACACAGAACACCAAUUGCGUAGGCAGCUUACUGAGCCGACACUGACGCUGAGGUACGAAAGCGUGGGGAUCGAACAGGA